rnacentral:misc_RNA from 1 species
UAGAUCAACAAAAUCCCCCAAAACUGAGAAAAAAACCCACUAAAUUCGACAAGAAAAAGGAAGCCCAACUCACCAAAUGAUCACUAAAUCAACAAUUAACCAAAAAAAUCCAACUUUUUCCUUUCUAAAGUUCAAAUCUUGGUACAAAAACCUCACCUCCUAAUGCUGACUACUUCAAUAAAAAUCCCCCAAACUUGAGAAAAAAACCCACUAAACUCGACAAGAAAAAGAGACCUAACUCACCAAAUGA